rnacentral:rRNA from 1 species
CAGCCGCCGCGGUAAUACGUAGGUGGCAAGCGUUGUCCGGAAUUAUUGGGCGUAAAGCGCGCGCAGGCGGAUCGGUCAGUCUGUCUUAAAAGUUCGGGGCUUAACCCCGUGAUGGGAUGGAAACUGCCAAUCUAGAGUAUCGGAGAGGAAAGUGGAAUUCCUAGUGUAGCGGUGAAAUGCGUAGAUAUUAGGAAGAACACCAGUGGCGAAGGCGACUUUCUGGACGAAAACUGACGCUGAGGCGCGAAAGCCAGGGGAGCGAACGGGAUUAGAUACCCGUGUAGUCCCUGUCUCUUAUACA